UGCACCUGCUCAGGAAAGAGUCAAGAGGCACGGAUAUGAGUCCUUUGUCAAUGUGUGGUUUUCAGGAUUUCUCCUACCUUCAUUACUUUCUGCACAAAAUGUCCAAUCAAGAAACUAGAG